rnacentral:rRNA from 1 species
CUCAUAGCGUAUAUUAAUGUUGUUGCAGUUAAAAAGCUCGUAGUUGGAUUCCUGACCUGGGGUAGCCGGUCCGCCUUGCAAAAGGUGCGCACUGAGCGGCCUCGGUCAUCCUUGAGAAGAGCGGUCCUGGCAUUCAGUUGUCGGGGUCGGGAUUCUCGACGUUUACUGUGAAAAAAUCAGAGUGUUCAACGCAGGCUUACGCCUUGAAUACAUUAGCAUGGAAUAAUGAGAUAGGACCUUGGCGGUCUAUUUUGUUGGUUUGCACGCCGAGGUAAUGAUUAAAAGGGACGGUUGGGGUUCUUCGUAUUCAAUUGUCAGAGGUGAAAUUCUUGGAUUUAUGGAAGACGAACUGCUGCGAAAGCGUCGAACAAGGACGUUCUCAUUAAUCAAGAACGAAAGUUAGGGGAUCGAAGAUGAUUAGAUACCAUCGUAGUCUUAACCAUAAACUAUGCCGAUUCAGGAUUGGCGGUCGUUUGUUCUCGACUCCGUCAGCACUGUAUGAGAAAUCAAAAUCUUUGGGUUCCGGGGGGAGUAUGGUCGCAAGGCUGAAACUUAAAGAAAUUGACGGAAGGGCACCACCAGGAGUGGAGCCUGCGGCUUAAUUUGACUCAACACGGGGAAACUUAC